rnacentral:rRNA from 1 species
GUUUUUCGGGUUCGUACAAGGGGUUGUUUUUUUCGGCCUGUUGAAGGCCAUUGUUUGCCUGCGUUUAUCACAAACUCUAUAAAGUAUUAGAAUGUGUAUUGCGAUGUAACGCAUCUAUAUACAACUUUCAGCAACGGAUCUCUUGGCUCUCGCAUCGAUGAAGAACGCAGCGAAAUGCGAUAAGUAAUGUGAAUUGCAGAAUUCAGUGAAUCAUCGAAUCUUUGAACGCACCUUGCGCUCCUUGGUAUUCCGAGGAGCAUGCCUGUUUGAGUGUCAUGAAAUCUUCAAUCUAUAAGCUUCUUAAUUGGAGUUUGUAGUCUUGGACUUGGAGGCUUGUUGGUCCUUUACAGGUCGGCUCCUCUUAAAUGCAUUAGCUUGGUUCCUUGCGGAUCGGCUUGUCGGUGUGAUAAUGUCUACGCCGCGACCGUGAAGCGUGUUUGGGCGAGCUUCUAACCGUCUCGUUAUAGAGACAACUUUAUGACCUCGGCCCUCAA